AGAGUUUGAUUCUGGCUCAGGACGAACGCUGGCGGCGUGCUUAACACAUGCAAGUCGAGCGAGGUCCAUCCAGUCGCAAGACUGGGGAAAACCUAGCGGCGAACGGGUGAGUAACACGUGAGCAACCUGCCCCGAAGUCUGGGAUAACACCGGGAAACCGGUGCUAAUACCGGAUGUCCUCAUUGGACCGCAUGAUUCGAUGAGGAAAGAAUUUCGCUUCGGGAGGGGCUCGCGGGCUAUCAGCUUGUUGGUGGGGUAACGGCCCACCAAGGCGACGACGGCUAGCUGGUCUGAGAGGACGACCAGCCACACUGGGACUGAGACACGGCCCAGACUCCUACGGGAGGCAGCAGUGGGGAAUCUUGCGCAAUGGGCGAAAGCCUGACGCAGCAACGCCGCGUGGGGGAUGAAGGCCCUCGGGUUGUAAACCCCUUUCAGCAGGGACGAAUUUGACGGUACCUGCAGAAGAAGCCCCGGCCAACUACGUGCCAGCAGCCGCGGUAAUACGUAGGGGGCGAGCGUUGUCCGGAUUUAUUGGGCGUAAAGAGCUCGUAGGCGGCUUGGCAAGUCGGGUGUGAAACCUCCAGGCUCAACCUGGAGACGCCACUCGAUACUGCUAUGGCUAGAGUCCGGUAGGGGACCACGGAAUUCCUGGUGUAGCGGUGAAAUGCGCAGAUAUCAGGAGGAACACCGGUGGCGAAGGCGGUGGUCUGGGCCGGCACUGACGCUGAGGAGCGAAAGCGUGGGUAGCAAACAGGAUUAGAUACCCUGGUAGUCCACGCCGUAAACGUUGGGCACUAGGUGUGGGGCCUUAUCAACGGGUUCCGUGCCGUAGCUAACGCAUUAAGUGCCCCGCCUGGGGAGUACGGCCGCAAGGCUAAACUCAAUGAAUUGACGGGG
rnacentral:rRNA from 1 species